rnacentral:ribozyme from 14 species
GUCUUUUGUGUUUUGAUCUUGCUUCCCUGUAAGCCUGAAGCAUAUUUUUUCUUUUUUCUUCCAACAACUGAGUUUCCUAUGUGAAACAUAGGGAAAGCAUAGUACUUACUGCACACUGAAGCAAAUAAAAAUGAUAAAACGAAAGGACAAAGCAAAGAGACUUGACAAACAUCGGUUUAUUACUCUUGUAGUUGAGGAAAAGUAAAAAAAGUUUUAUGUUUCGUAGUUGCAUGUGACUUUGCUUCUACAUAUGCCU